GAUGAAGAACGCAGCGAAAUGCGAUACGUAAUGUGAAUUGCAGAAUUCAGUGAAUCAUCGAAUCUUUGAACGCAUAUUGCGCUCUCUGGUAUUCCGGAGAGCAUGCUUGUUUGAGUAUCAGUAAACACCUCAACUUCCAUAUCUUUUUUGAAAUGGGAGUUGGACUUGAGUGAUCCCAACGCUUUUCCUCACCGAAAAGUGGCGGGUUACUUGAAAUGCAGGUGCAGCUGGACUUUUCUCUGAGCUAUAAGCAUAUCUAUUUAGUCUGCCUAAAAAACAGAUUAUUACCUUUGCUGCAGCUAACAUAAAGGAGAUUAGUUCUUGUGCUGACUGAUGCAGGAUUCACAAAGACAGGCUUCGGCCGACUUUGUAAACUCGAUCUCAAAUCAAGUAAGACUACCCGCUGAACUUAAGCAUAUCAAUAAGCGGAGGA
rnacentral:misc_RNA from 1 species